rnacentral:rRNA from 1 species
UACGGAAGAUCCGAGCGUUAUCCGGAAUUACUGGGCGUAAAGAGUUGCGUAGGUGGCAUGUAAAGCGAGUAGUGAAAGAUCCCGGCUCAACCGGGGGCCCAUUAUUCGAACUCACAAGCUAGAGCAUAAGAGAGGUACCUGGAAUUUCUAGUGUAGGAGUGAAAUCCGUAGAUAUUAGAAGGAACACCGAUGGCGUAGGCAGGGUACUGGCUUAUUGCUGACACUAAGGCACGAAAGCGUGGGGAGCGAACGGG